ACAUACGAUGCGGAACAGCAUCGACACGUAAAAGAGUACACUACACCCGACUUCAGAGCUUUGGGUAUUUUGUCCUUAAAAGAGAAAAAGGUGGAAAGCCGUUUAGUUGAUCGAAAGACAAAUCUUAUAUCAAGAUGUGGGAAAGCAGCACGACAAAGACGGUUGAUUUGCGUGCGGAUUUGCAAGGAGUGAGUGCCCGUAAAAGGGAGACAGAAAUAAAUUAUUUUCUUAGGA